CCGGUGCCCGGCCUCGCCGCGGCUGCCGGCGCGCUGCUGGCCUCCGGCGCUCGCCCUCCUCCGCCUCUCCCGUGCGCCCGGUGCCCUGCGCAGGCAGGUGUCCUGCGUCCCUUCCCCUGCCCGGCCUGCGUGCAUCUUCUGCCGGGGUGAAACCCUGCGUCUGCAGGCUGCUGCGUUCAGGGCACGCGCCAGCGUGUGCCUCUGUCCUGCUGCCUAACGUCCACCAUAUACCACAGCCGUUUGGGGCUUGUGUCUGUUUUGGAGUCAGCCAUUGUUUAUUCUCUGCAACAACAUUAUGCCCCUGGUGUCCAGCUGCAAACCUGCUUUAAAAGAGAUGCAUGAGAAAAUACAUAUGAGGGUGAUGUCACUGUCCUGUUCCAGGCAAAAGAAUUCUGGGGAAGUACUAGACUCUUGUAUUCUCUGACUAGAUCUCUGUAAGCAUAGCUACUGAGCUGCUAAUCAGAUACAUUCUUCAGGAGUUUGCUCCCUAGGAGUCUGACUUUUUAUUUUUAUUUACUUUUUAAUAUCAUCUAACUAGGUUGAAGCACAUUCCAUGGACAACUGCACUAUUGGUAUCUUGGGGUCUUUUUUGAAACAGCAUCUUGUAAAUUUUUAAGUACAAAAAUUCUGAUUUAGGAAUUGAUACUGUUAAGAUACAUCCUGCUAUAAAAAUACUCUUUUGAUCUGAAUAUUGUGCAUGUUUUUAGAAAAGUACAGUGUACAGUAACAGUAUAACAGAACUCUUAAUGAUAUCCUAAUUAUUUACAAAUGUUAAGUUUCAGGAAAUACUUUUUUCAGAUCAUGUAUAUUUAAUUUAUUAAAAUUUGAUUAUAUACUGGCACACAAAGCUUUCAGAAUUUAAUUUUGCCUUUUUAAGUCAACCAGAAGGAGUAUAGAAAUGAAUAUUCAGAUGUGACAAGAUCUUAUAUUUACUUUGUCUAUUCAUUGGUGAAAUAUUAGUGGCUGUUUGGAAUUGUACUGUUUGCCCAUGCUUCUGAUCCAGCAUGCUGCCUAAGUUUUUAGGCUUUGUAUACUAUAGCCUGUUGAUCUUCAUCCUCAGUGUUGUUAACUGUUGAUCUUACUAAUAUUUUUUCUCUGAGCAUCUGGAUCACUGUAUUUUUGCAUAACUUAAUGUAGAAAUUGAACCUGACCUUUCUCCCUCCCAUGUUUACAAACAAUUGCUCUUUCUGGUUAUCCUAUUGCAAUAUUAGCUAUGAUUUUCAGCCCUUUAUGGAGGAAGGAGGUAAAAAACUCAUCUCUUGUGGGUAGUUUGAAAAAAGUGAAAAUCUUGUUCUUUAAAGUGCUAAGCAUCUUAAAAUAUGAAUUUGU
rnacentral:lncRNA from 1 species